GACGAACGCUGGCGGCGUGCCUAAUACAUGCAAGUCGAGCGAAGUUUUUCUGGUGCUUGCACUAGAAAAACUUAGCGGCGAACGGGUGAGUAACACGUAAAGAACCUGCCUCAUAGACUGGGACAACUAUUGGAAACGAUAGCUAAUACCGGAUAACAGUAUUUCUCGCAUGGGAGAUAUUUAAAAGUUGGUUAUGCUAACACUAUGAGAUGGCUUUGCGGUGCAUUAGCUAGUUGGUGGGGUAAAGGCCCACCAAGGCGACGAUGCAUAGCCGACCUGAGAGGGUGAUCGGCCACACUGGGACUGAGACACGGCCCAGACUCCUACGGGAGGCAGCAGUAGGGAAUCUUCCGCAAUGGGCGAAAGCCUGACGGAGCAACGCCGCGUGAGUGAAGAAGGAUUUCGGUUCGUAAAGCUCUGUUGUUAAGGAAGAAUGGAUAUGUAGUAACUAUACAUGUACGAGAC
rnacentral:rRNA from 1 species